GACGAACGCUGGCGGCGUGCUUAACACAUGCAAGUCGAACGGCAAGGCCCUGCUUUCGUGGGGUGCUCGAUUGGCGAACGGGGGAGUAACACGUGAGUAACCUGCCCUUGACUUUGGGAUAACUUCACGAAACUGGGGCUAAUACCGGAUAGGAGCCCCCGCUCCAUGGUGGGGGGUGGAACGUUUCGGCGGGUGGGGAUGGACGCGCGGCUUACCGGCUGGUUGGUGGGGGAGUGGCUGACCCAGGCCGUGGCGGGUAGCCGGCCUGGGAGGGUGGCCGGGGACAUGGGGCCUGCGGGAGGGAGCAGAGGGGAACGGGGGGCAGCGGGGGGGAGGAUGGCACAGCGGGCGGGAGCGGGAGGAGGCGGCGCGGGGUGCGGGAUGACGGCCUUCGGGGUGUGAACCGCUUUCGGCUGUGACGAAGCGGGAGUGACGGUACUGGGUGAAGAAGCACCGGCUAACUACGUG
rnacentral:rRNA from 1 species